CUACGGGCCGCAGCAGUGGGGAAUAUUGCACAAUGGGCGCAAGCCUGAUGCAGCCAUGCCGCGUGUAUGAAGAAGGCCUUCGGGUUGUAAAGUACUUUCAGCGGGGAGGAAGGGAGUAAAGUUAAUACCUUUGCUCAUUGACGUUACCCGCAGAAGAAGCACCGGCUAACUCCGUGCCAGAGCCGCGGUAAUACGGAGGGUGCAAGCGUUAAUCGGAAUUACUGGGCGUAAAGCGCACGCAGGCGGUUUGUUAAGUCAGAUGUGAAAUCCCCGGGCUCAACCUGGGAACGGCAUCUGAUACUGGCAAGCUUGAGUCUCGUAGAGGGGGGUAGAAUUCCAGGUGUAGCGGUGAAAUGCGUAGAGAUCUGGAGGAAUACCGGUGGCGAAGGCGGCCCCCUGGACGAAGACUGACGCUCAGGUGCGAAAGCGUGGGGAGCAAACAGGAUUAGAUACCCCCGUAGUC
rnacentral:rRNA from 1 species